rnacentral:lncRNA from 1 species
CUUUCCCUCAUCGCUCUGCUCAUCUCUUUAUCUCUGGCCGCUGUCAUGUUAUCUCCCAGCCUAUCUUGCUCUCAUCUCCCGCUCUCUGCCUGUCUUCACCCCUCCCCCAUCCCCAUCCUCCCCCCUCGCUCUGGCUAUCUCCUUGCCAUCUGUAUGGCAGUCUGGCAAACACUCAGAGGCUCCCCAGCCCUGCCGGCACUAUCACCUCCUCCCCACUGCCCCCUGCCCUGGGACUUCUCUGGCUGAACCCUCCUACCCCUGCCCAUGGCGCUCUGCCUCCUCUUUCCCUUCAGCAGCCCUGGCGGGAGCCACUUCCUGGCAGGCGCCCCCAGCCCAGGUCUUCACUGACGAAGGGCCAUACCAGGCGCUGUGAGAGAGCCCAGAGAAGCCCCAAACCCUGUCUCUUUCCUCGAGAAGCUUAGCCAGGGGAGAUGAGGCCAGCAGAACGAAACAGCGACGCCGGAAGGAGAAAGCGAGAACAUCCUCUGACAAGAAACUGCUACGCAAAUGCAAAGAAUCGUCGUCUCUAUCCAGUGCUGCUCUCAAGUGAUUUCAGAAACAACAGAGCUAUUAGGACUUAGGAGCUGACGUGACCAAGAAGGUUUGCCUUACGUCCCCCACCGUGGAAUUUUUCAGGGAUCUGUGCAGGACUGGGAACCCAGGCCAAAGAGAAAAUUACCAAGAAGAGAAUCUGUAAUCUCA